rnacentral:rRNA from 1 species
UAAGGAAUAUUGGGCAAUGGAGGCAACUCUGACCCAGCCAUGCCGCGUGGAGGAUGAAGGCCCUCUGGGUUGUAAACUUCUUUUACCUGGGACGAAACCACCCUUUUCUAAGGGUGUUGACGGUACCAGGGGAAUAAGCACCGGCUAACUCCGUGCCAGCAGCCGCGGUAAUACGGAGGGUGCAAGCGUUAUCCGGAUUCACUGGGUUUAAAGGGUGCGUAGGCGGGCAGGUAAGUCCGUGGUGAAAUCUCCGAGCUUAACUCGGAAACUGCCAUGGAUACUAUUUGUCUUGAAUACUGUGAAGGUGAGCGGAAUAUGUCAUGUAGCGGUGAAAUGCUUAGAUAUGACAUAGAACACCAAUUGCGAAGGCAGCUCACUGCGCAGUGAUUGACGCUGAGGCACGAAAGCGUGGGGAUCAAACAGG